rnacentral:misc_RNA from 1 species
UUGGAGCAAACUAGAGAAGAGGUUGUGAUGGUUAUAGUUAACAGGCUAGAUGUUGCUGUUUUGGACUCAAACUGGACUUGCGUUCAAAGCCAGGUUUCUCCCGAACUGGAGCAUGAUAGAAACAAGAUUUUUACUGGGAGGCAUCGUGUCCAUUGGAAGGCUUCUGUUCCUGCCUUGGGGUUGCAAACAUAUUAUAUUGCCAAUGGUUUUGCCGGAUGUGAAAAAGCCAUACCAGCUAAAUUGAAGUACUUCUCAACGUCAAAUUCAUUUUCGUGCCCCACUCCAUAUGUUUGCUCUAAAGUAGAAGGUGACAUGGCUGAAAUCCAGACUCAACAUCAAACUCUCACCUUUGAUGUCAAGCUCGGUUUGUUACAGAAAAUUAGCCAUAACAAUGGUUCCAAGAUUGUUGUGGGUGAGGAAAUAGGUAUGUACACUAGUCCAGGAAGUGGGGCCUACCUGUUUAAACCUGAGGGGGAUGCUCAGCCUAUUGUUGAGGCAGGGGGGAACAUGGUGAUCUCCGAAGGCCCACUAAUGCAGGAAGUGUUCGUUUAUCCUAAAACAGCUUGGGAACAGACGCCCAUCUCCCACAGUACUAGAAUUUAUAACGGAGAUGGUACUAUUCAAGAGUUUCUCAUUGAGAAAGAAUAUCA